UUCAAUUAUACGUUAUCUCUCAUUCUCUCAUUCAUCAUCGUUCCUCUUUUAACCGAAAACCCUAAUCGCCAAAAACCCUAGAUCAAAAUUCCUCUGCAUCUUCAUCUCUCUCAAUCCUGUUCGACAACCUUCAAUCGAUCUUUAAGACGCAAUACUCUUCUCUUUCUGAAGAUCAUCUACGAAUCAUCAAUCAUCGGCAAGAUGAUUAAGGAUGGAUUUGCGGAGGGAAAAGAUCUGGUUGCGAGUGUGAUGUCCGCCAUGGGAGAGGAGCAGAUCUGCGCUCUCAAGGACAUCGGUCCAAAAUAGUUAUCUGAUAUUUAUUAUGUUAAAGAAAAUGGUUUGUGAUAUCAGCAGAAAUUUUUCUGUUAAAACAUCAUGAAUAUGUUUGCAGCACUUAGCAUAGUACUUGAUAAUGGAUUAUUUAAAUGAUUGUAGGCUCUCCUAUUUCUUCAGAACCCUUGAGGGACGGAUCAUUGCUUAAAACAGAUUUUUCACCCCAGAAGUGGAUUAGAUCUUUUUCUACAUGCAGUGAACCUGCUAAAAUAGAGAAGAUAGUCAACACCUCGGUCAGAAGGGGACACACUAGCCCUGCUUAUUUUACUGCAUCUGGUGCUAUGGUUGGAGGUGUUUUAAGUACUCCCGCUGUAAAUGCUCCACAGGUAGGGUCCUUCAAUUUUUAUUUUUAAAUUACCAAACUUAAUUCUCAGCCACUUUUUGGCUGUAGUAUUAUUGCUCAUGAAAUCCAAUUAUAUUAACUUAAUCAUUUUACCCUUUAGGUAUAUUUAUAUUAACAUUUCUACAUAUUAUUAAAAAUUAAGGAUGAUUAAACGUUCAUUAUUGGGGGACACAUGUCACCCAUUGGUUUAAGCCAAAUAAGCAGACACCUCAUCUGACAAGUGGCAUAGCUCUUAGACCCGACAGUCUGCUAGGCGAAGGAGGGUUCAGGUAUGUUUUCAAAGGGUAGAUUGAUGAACUCACUCAUUUGGCUACGAAGCCAGGGUCUGGAAUGGCGAUUGCUGUCGAAAAGCUUAAACCGGAAGGUUUUCAAGGCCACAAAGAAUGGCUGACAGAAGUAACUUACCUUAGUCAGCUGCAUCAUCCGAAUCUGGUGAAACUUAUUGGCUACUGUUCAGAGGGUCAUAAUAGGCUUUUGGUUUAUGAGUACAUGCCUAAAGGAAGCUUGGAGAAUCAUCUUCUUUGAAUAUUGGGGGACUGUCUAACAAGUUUGGAUGCAAUUGGGGGAUGUUUGGCGAGUAGGCCAACUUGGUCAACCGGGUCAGGCGCGAUCAAAGCUGUUCAAAUGGUCAACGUGUGUCAAAUUCUGUCAACCUGGUCAAUCGUUGUCACAGAUGGUUGAGCAUGCUCAAUAUUUGACCCUUGGAAGUGUAGCCAUGUUUGGUCAAGAAGGAAGUGUAAUGGAUUUGUUCGAAAUAUUCUUAGAAAUUAGCUUUGGUUUGCUUAUGAUUUGACUUUUUUUCUCAAAGAUGUAAUUAAUUUGGAAAUGUAGUUGUCUUACAACAACUAGAAACCGGAUUUGACUCAUGAGUGAAUGUAUAAUUCCAAAAUUAUAUGUAA